rnacentral:rRNA from 1 species
AUUGAACGCUGGCGGCAUGCCUUACACAUGCAAGUCGAACGGCAGCACGGGAGCAAUCCUGGUGGCGAGUGGCGAACGGGUGAGUAAUAUAUCGGAACGUGCCCGGUCGUGGGGAUAACGUAGCGAAAGCUACGCUAAUACCGCAUACGAUCUAUGGAUGAAAGCGGGGGAUCGCAAGACCUCGCGCGAUUGGAGCGGCCGAUAUCAGAUUAGGUAGUUGGUGAGGUAAAGGCUCACCAAGCCGACGAUCUGUAGCUGGUCUGAGAGGACGACCAGCCACACUGGGACUGAGACACGGCCCAGACUCCUACGGGAGGCAGCAGUGGGGAAUUUUGGACAAUGGGCGCAAGCCU